GGCAUGUCAACACUGAGCUUAGGAGAAUCUAAUGGCGAAGCAGGGCCGUCAUCAUUGUCAUUAAAGCUGCCUGGCGGGUCAGAUAGACAAUCUGCUUUCCAUGCUAAAGCUCCCUAAAAUGGUUCGAUGGUGGAUUCAAGUACGAGCCCGAUCCAUGCAGUCUAGUGACCCCGCAUUAAGAAAGCACCCCAAAACUGGAGGUGUCCCCAGUGAUACAAAGUCUUUUUGUUUAUACAGGAUCAAUAAACUUCAAUCCUGACUAGCUUUUUUAGUGUACUAUAUAGUGUUGUAUAGUGGAGUUAUGACGUGGCACUUGAUUAUCUAAGUGGCUAACGUAUUGUUGAUUUUUUCUUAAUAAUGACUGCAAUUUUGGUUUGUAAGGAAUGAUUUCUUGAUUUCUGUAAGGUCAUGACCCUGAUCCUAUUAUGCGAAGUGAUUUUAGCUUUCUGCAAGUUUGCUCUCUUUUCCCCCUUCUCAGUAGUUGGGGCUAGACUUCAUAUUAUUUGGCAUACUUCACUUUCAAAUUCUGCAACUACGAUAAAAUGAAAAGAAAGAAAAAGCAUGCAUCUCUGCUAUAUUUGUCAUCUCAUAAACUGAUAUUAGCUCUAAUUAUCUCCUUAGUUAACUGAGCUUAACAUUAUCUAUGAUAUGCUAACUUUGUCAGUAGGCAGUUCUGAACUCUACUGUGGUUGUCAACCUAUUUUCUUU
rnacentral:lncRNA from 1 species